UUGCUCACUUUGGCAGCACAUGUACUAAACCUGGAACGAUACAGAGAAGAUUAGCAUGGCCCCUGUGCAAGGAUGACACACAAAUUGGUGAAGUAUUGCAUGUUUUU
rfam:Neotoma lepida isolate 417 scaffold_3246, whole genome shotgun sequence.